UGGCGGACGGGUGAGUAAUGUCUUGGAAACUGCCCGAUGGAGGGGGAUAACUACUGGAAACGGUAGCUAAUACCGCAUAACGUCGCAAGACCAAAGAGGGGACCUUCGGGCCUCUUGCCAUCGGAUGUGCCCAGAUGGGAUUAGCUAGUAGGUGGGGUAACGGCUCACCUAGGCGACGAUCCCUAGCUGGUCUGAGAGGAUGACCAGCCACACUGGAACUGAGACACGGUCCAG
rnacentral:rRNA from 1 species